ensembl:lncRNA
AUGUAUAGGUUCUGCCCUGUGCCAUCAUUUCUAGCAGGCUUUGUUGUUCCUACCAGAGUACUGGGAUACUGGAAGUGUGCAGGGUGGGUAUUUCACUUGCUUGGUUUGAUAUGUUUUCAUGAUAGUGUAUUGGUUUACAUAUACAGGGAACUUCUGUGCUGCUCUACUUUGCUAACCUUUCUGAUUGCUCUGCACUCAGUUCUUCUCAAAUCACUCUUGUGCUGCCUGGCUGCUACCUUGGAUGACUCCGUGAUGGACAGUUGUGUUGGCUUCCACUUCAUUUCCACUACUUCUUCUGUUCUGUGUGACUGCAAAAAUGUUUCCUCUGCUUCCAGGUAUCUUCCAGAAAAGUCCAAGAAAACUGCUGGCACUGACUGAAGAUGAAAAUAUGAUUUGUGCUGACAUCAUGUAUAGUCCAAGCAAAUCUGUUUUGUGAAAGAUGGUUUUUUUAUGGUGUUGAAAUAAAGAAUCAGUGAGUCAUUCUUGAAGGAAUAUUGGCUCAGACUUUUCUUGCCUCUGUUACCACUGCCCCACCCCUGCUUUUCCUCUUCUGCUUUGUCUUUGGGGACCUUCAUAUUGAUGCUAGCUACAAAUGGUUGUUAAACAAAUUUUCUUCUGUCCUUAAGCAUAACUGCUUCGUGUGGGUUGAUGUAAUGCAAGAAUAGUCUCUGCUGUGAGGCUAGGAGCCAUACCCAGCUAUAGCAGUGUUGAUACUGAUUUUCUGGCUCCCACAACAUUUCAUUGCAAAUUCUGUUAAGAGGUAGUAAGUUUUCUUUGCUGAGAAACUGUAGCAGCAGCAUCUGCUAAGUUGGGUUGGGUCUACUUAAAAGUUGGGUUGUUUUCAAACAGUAUUCCAUUUGUGGGCAUCUGACUUAAACUGAACUUCGACUAUAAAACACUGUGGAUGUGACCAGUCACAGUACUUGCUGAGAUGAUGUUACCUGCAGCAGCAGAGAAGAAAGCAGAUGAAUAAAAUACAGACGAUAUUCCAAUGUUGGAUUGGUUAAAAAGAAACUUAACUGGAUAAAUUAGGUAGAUUACACUAGUUUUACAGAUAAUUCGAGGCAGGAAGGCUGAAAAGGAGGUGAGGUUAGUUAUGUGAGUGGCUGGAAAGAUGUGAUGACUUAGUGUAAGUCUUAGACUGUCACUUCAGCAAAAUUCUCAGUCCAAAAUCCAUUGUCUUGGCUGAGAUACUGGGGGAGCUGGGACACUGAACAUCUGUUGGCUGCUGGGGAUACAAAUGAUUUCAGAGAGAGGGAUGUAAACCUUAUAAAAACCUUUUCCUUUGAAGUUAGGUAAAAUAUGGACUUUUAUGACUGUUUAAUUAAAUUUUUUCAAUUUGUUGUAUCUCUUAACUCCAUGGAAAUACAAAAUACACAACCAAUUGUGAUGAUGUCUAAAUUGGCACUUAAUAAAUGCUGCUUGAUCCUUCCAUAGUGGAUAAUAGUUAUCCAACUGUACUCUGCCUAGUGUCUGAGGACCCAGUGCAUCCUUUUUUUACUCAAAGAAAAGUAGCAUAAAAAUAGCUGUUUAUGUAGCACAUCUGUUCUAAAACCCCCUCAAACCAAUGGUACAACCAUUGUGUCAACAGUACAAGGCUGACUGAUGACUUCCAAAUGACCAAUCCUUUGUUUUUUGAUUUUUUGUUUCCCUGUUAUGUAGAUUGGACCUUUAAUAUAAAGUAAGUAUUUAAACAUUUUUUUUCUUUUACACCCUUCUGAAUAUACCAUGUGUGCGUUUUCCUUUCCAGCUAAUGCUGUUGUGUGGAGGAGGGGCAAGGUUUGCAGUGGCACACAGCCUUUUCAGAAAAUAGUUUGAAACUUGGGAGUUCUGUGAAGUGUUUUGCCACUGCAAAAAUGUAAGAAGGAAGGUGCAGAUGUCCCCACAAAACAAAAUCUGGAGCCUUACUGGUAUGUGGAAGUGUUGCCCCGAGCAAGGCAGGGGCUUCUGGCUCAUGGUGAAUUCUGAGCUUGUUCAGUGCAGUGCAUUGAAUCUCUUGCCCUACCUUUGCCAUGAGUCAGUGCUUUUCAGGGAAUUCAGAGUUAAUGUAUCUUAUUUCUAUACAAAGCAAGUGCUGUCCUGUGAUUUGGAG